rnacentral:lncRNA from 1 species
GAGAAAGUAGAAAUUUUGGAGAAAUAAAUAGAAGAAGAAUAUAGAUUAAUGAAACCGGAUAGAAGAUUCCCGGAGAGAUUAAAACAAAUAACAGUGCGAUGACGAUUAACAGUGCGAUGAAGAGAUUAAAAAAAUUUUAAUCGAUUUAUCAAGACGAGAGAUUGGAGACAGAACCGCCUAUAAUAUAACAUACACACCGCAGAUUCGGGAGUGGAGACCUAGCCGGAGCCUUCCCGUUGCGAUCGCCGCUAGUAUUAGACAUUCUGCUAUUGAGGAGGGAAAAAAAUCACAAUACGAGAGAUGAAUACGCGGAAGAAUAAUGCGCCGCAGGAAACAAUUUUCGGGGAAGAGAUGGGUACAAGAUUGUGCGAAACUAGGGUUUCAGAAAGAAAACCAAUAUAUAACCCCCCUCUCCAAAUCACCCUAUCGACCGUCGGGCAAUGCAAUGUAAAGCGUACUAUCACUGCCGGACUGUCAAAACCAUCCAUCCGAACAGUACUUUAGCGCCUUUUCAUCACCAACGGUCACCAUUCAAACCCAUUAAUUGGACGGCUAAGAUGGAGAUCGCAUAUAGUGCGCAUAUAGACGUUCUCACUAGAAGCGUCCUGUAUUUAAAUAACUUAAAACAGUGUUUUGUUUUUAUUUUAAAAAAAGACCAAUUUUUUUAUUUUAUUUUAAGACCUUAAAAAUUUAUACAUUGGUCCAUGAAAAGAGCUAUAUUAUUUUUAAUAUAAGCUCCUCCCAC